rnacentral:lncRNA from 10 species
GGGUUUCACCGUGUUAGCCAGGAUGGUCUCGAUCUCCUGACCUCGUGAUCCGCCCGCCUCGGCCUGAUGUGUUGGUUUUAUAAGGGGGAGUUUCUCUGCACAAGCUGUCUCUCUUUGCCUGCCGCCAUCCGCGUAGUAAACGUGACUUGAUCCUCCUUGCCUUCCGCCAUGAUUUUAAGGCCUCCCCAGCCACAUGGAACAGUGAAGAUGCAAUGAGAAAGCACAGUCUUUGAAGCAAGAGAGAGCCCUUACGAGAUGCUGAAUCCGCUAGUGCCUUGACAUGGGACUUUCCAACCUUCAAAACUAAAAACUGUCAAGACCAGUGAACACCUAGUGUUACUUGCACCAAGAAUAGUAACCACGGCUCUUGCAGAACUUGAAGGUAUAUUAUUAAAAGCGAUGAUUGUGGAAAUUUCUGUCUUAUUACUGAACACAGAGGAAAACAGUAAGAAUUCACCAGUUAAAGCUCCUGGGCCUAGACUAUGUGUCUGUGUGUGUGUGUGUGUGUGUGUGUGUGUGUGUGUGUGUGCGCGCGCGGUAUAUGUAAGUUCUUUAAUUAUAAUUAUCUUUUAUUUCUUAUGUUAUUUCUGUGUUUUCAAAUGUUUUUCUCAUUUUGUUAAAUUUUUAAAUAUAUUGAUACAAAAUUGUUAAUGAGAUACUCAUGCAAUGUUUUGUAUGUCUGUGUGGUUUGUAGUGAUAUCCCUUCUUUUCAUUCCUGAUGCUUAAAAAUUUUGGUUUAUUUAUUUCCUUCUUGAUUUAUCUUGCUAAUCGUUUAUCAGUUUUAUUUCUAUUCUUAAAAUGCCAUUUAUUUUUCUUUCUAAAUUUUUUCAGUUGUGUCUGCCUUCUCUCUCAUUUGUUUCUUUGUUUCUUACAUUUUCCUUUAUUUCUUCCAUUGUGGGGCUUAUUAUUUUCUUUACGUGACUUCCUAUAAAUAAGUUCUUAUGUCAUUGACUUUUUAUUGUUUUAUAUGUUCCAACGUACAUACGUAUGAUUAUAAGUCUGGCUUUCAGCAGUGCCAUAACUGAAAUCUACAAGUUAUGAUAUACUUUUUAUUUUCAUUCCAUUUAAAAUAUAUUCUCACAUUUACUGUAAGUUCUUAUUUGAUUUAUGUGUUAUUAAAGACAUAUUUGUUGCUUUUUAUACAAACAUUUGAGAUUUCCAGAUUAGUUAUUAAUUUCCACUAUAAUUUUAUUGUGGUCAUAGAAUAUACUUUGUAUGUCCUUUGAAAUUUAUUAAAAUCUGUUUCCAGAGAAAAAUGUCUAUCCACAUGCAAAAGAAUAAAAUUGCAUCUUUAUCUAGCACCCUAAACAAAAAUCAACUCACGCUGCAUUAAACACUUAAACAGAAGACCCAAAAUCAUGAAACUCCUGAGAAAAAACUUAGGAGAAAAGCUCUUGAUGUGAACUUUGAGAGCAAAGGAUGAUAAAGUUUUAGGCCUCUGUAACUGAAGGGUUAGUAUUGGCAUUAUAGGACACGGGGAAACAAUUGGUAGAGCACAACUGGAAGAGAACGUUAGAAUUUUAGUUUUAGACAUGUUAAGUUAAGUAACCUGACUAGACCUAAGAACCAGCACCCCAAUGCCUAUCAUGCUUGUCAUUCUCUUCCUUUUUCUUCACAUUUUUUAAGGAAUCUUCUGCUGAGAUGAACUUUUAAAUACUUACAAUCAAAUUAUACAUAGAGCUUCACUGGGAAAAGCUAAAAUUGGAUAUAAUAUACCAAUGAAAGGCACAGCUGAUAUGAUUUUCUUAACCAUGCAGUUACAGCAUGCUAUGUAAUAACUGAGACCAAUGGAAUACAUUUUUCUUCCUUAAAAUUCUUGCUGAUAUGCUCUUCAUGUAAGAAAUAGUUUAGCUAACAUAACAUUUAAGGGUGAACACAAGUAACUAAUAAUUCUUUUUAGUUGUAAUAGAUGGUUUAAAGUAAUCAACAGAUGUUUUAUCUCAAUGAUGAUUUGCCAGGUGUAAUUUUCUUUAUUUAAAUACAUUCAGCAAAACAAAGGAGAAAUCAUGAUAGUCAUCUAAUUUUUAUUUUUGACUAUUCUUCAACUUUGAAAUAUUUGCCUAGAACGCAUUGUAUUUCUCAAGAGCAAUAUAAAUAUCAUAAGUACCAUCACUUAGUGCUACAUAAAUUGAGCAAAUUAUUUAGCAAUCCUGAAGUUCUAUAUCUCUCUUUCUCUAUUGCAUAUGUCAGUGAUCCUGUAGCCCUGGUUUCAAACUGCCGAUUCACAGACCAAAUGUCUCUCUGAGGACACUGUCAUCUGUCUCACUGGUAGAGUGAGAAAAAAUGUGAAAAUAUCAUGACUUUUCUACAUAAGUUAAAUGCAUCCAUUAUUUUGUAAUAACAUUUCUACUUUUUGGAAGUCAAUCUGUUGAUAGUAGAUGAUAAAUGAUAGCUAUUGCUUCUGUUUGUUUUCCAAGUAUAUAUUUGUCAAAAUAAAACUCAUAUAUUGGUUCCUAUUUUAAGUAUUUUUGUCUUCUUGUUUAAAUGUUACUACUUGUGAAAUACAAAAAUUCUAGAGGCAAUAAUCUACCUAAUAAUGUCCAAACAUUAUAAUUGUUUUAAAAGACCCUUCAUUUUGUCCUAUUCCUAUAUCUCCCCACUUAAUUUCCA